UGGGGUGUAGCUUAGUGGCAGAGCGCCUCCCUGGCGAGCACGAGGCCCUGGGUUCAAUUCCCAAUACCAUGA
rnacentral:tRNA from 1 species